rfam:Gossypium raimondii scaffold_454_contig_1, whole genome shotgun sequence.
GGGUGCGAUCAUACUAGCACUAAUACAUGGUAUCCCAUCAGAACUCCGCAUUGAAGCGUUUUUGGGCGAGAGUAGUACGAGGAUGGAUGACCUCCUGGGAAGCCAUCGUGUUGCACCCC